rnacentral:rRNA from 1 species
GACGAACGCUGGCGGCGUGCUUAACACAUGCAAGUCGAACGGUAAGGCCCUUCGGGGUACACGAGUGGCGAACGGGUGAGUAACACGUGGGUGAUCUGCCCUGCACUUCGGGAUAAGCCUGGGAAACUGGGUCUAAUACCGGAUAGGACUCCUGCCUGCAUGGGUGGGGGUGGAAAGCUUUUGCGGUGUGGGAUGGGCCCGCGGCCUAUCAGCUUGUUGGUGGGGUGAUGGCCUACCAAGGCGAGGGCGGGUGCCCGGCCUGAGAGGGUGACCGGCCAAACUGGGAGUGAGAUACGGCCCAGACUCCUACGGGAGGCAGCAGUGGGGAAUAUUGCACAAUGGGCGCAAGCCUGAUGCAGCGACGCCGCGUGAGGGAUGACGGCCUUCGGGUUGUAAACCUCUUUCAGCACAGACGAAGCGCAAGUGACGGUAUGUGCAGAAGAAGGACCGGCCAACUACGUGCCAGCCGCCGCCGUAA